GGGGUUAUCCUAUAAUCCUAUUGGGGUUGAUCAAAUCAAAUCCAUAAUGAGUCAAAUUAAAUCUAAUCAAAUUAGACUUGAUGCAAGCCUCAUUGCUCAAUCAAAUUGAGCCAAUUAACAAUUCUAUUGCUAAUUAAUCCUCCUAUAACUCACUAACUCUUUAGUGAGUUACAUAAUGCAAUAUUUGCAUUAGAUCAAUUAUCAAUCAAAUUGAUAAUCAAAUCUUGUUAUGA
rnacentral:lncRNA from 1 species